GGAUAUACUUCUGCUGUUGGACGUUUUACUUGUUAAGAUUAUGUAACUUACAAUUAUAAAGUUUAAACUGCAUAAAAACUUGGUAAUAAUUGAACACUAAUGGAAAUUCAAAUGGCUAAUUACUUGAUCAAUGUACACACUUUGAUCUAGAACCGUAAGAGGGAGUUUGUGAUCAUUUUGAUUUAACCUAAAAUGGCAAUUUUAUAAAACUUUUUUGGCAAAUUUUAUGAGCCAAAGCUUAAUUUGACCCAUAUCGGCACAUCAUCAUCUUGGUAUAAGACCUCUUAUGUCUUUGUAAAACUUUGCUAAUAUCUUAAUUUCAAAAUCAGGUUUUUUUUUGGCAAUCUUUCAAAUCCUGCUGGUUACAUACCGACUAAUGAGGAGAACAGAAUGAUAUUGAUUAUGGGAUUAAUUACACUUUUUGAUUUCAAGGGUCUAAAAAUUGCAUUUUGAUACCUUCUUCUCUGUGAAAGAUAUUCUUUUGAAUAUGUUUUAUAUCGUGAUAUUGUGUUUAAAGAUAUUUUUCUUUCUAAAAGUACAUCAUAGCAGGAUUAAAAUCUGUUAUACCUGAGCAAGUUUUAUUUUAAGCACAUAUGCUGAAUUGAAUAUUUAUUUACAUAGUGAAACCAUUUGUUGAUAGUAUAGUCUAAAGUGGUUAUUAGUGGUUUGCAUAAUUUACACAUCAAAAGAAAUUAAGUAGUUUAUUUAUUUAUUUAUUAAUUAUUGCAAUGUUCGUAAUUUUGUUAAAUGUUUAUAAGGUGUGACUCACAAUAACAGUCCGCGUCUUCAAGCAUACCAGGGGUUAAACAGGUACUAUGGGGAUUAUUGAAAAUAUAACCAGUUAAGUUCUUACUGUGACCACAGUUACUGUUCUUAACUCAUAGAAACAGACUAGGUAAACCUUAUUUCAACAAGAUAUGAUUUAGAUAGUAUCAUAUGCCAUAUAAGAUUGUAAGUUUUUUUGGGGGAAAAGUUGAAACCAACAAAUGCCAUACAAUUACAUUAAAAUUGGGUUCUUAUACAUGCACCAUUAUGAAAUAAAUAAUAUUAGUUGAGGACAUGGUAGUCAUUUAGAAACUCACAAUAAUUGUUAAUGAUAGUUUCAACGUCAUUUAUUUUGUAUAUAGAUAUAUAUAUAUAUAUAUAUAAUGCAUGAUUGAGAAUUUAGCUAUUCACAAAAGCUGUUUGAUGAGGUAGGAAAUAAACAUUUAAUUAUUCUCAGGUUCUGUGAAAACCAAACAAUUUCGGUAAAAUCCACAUUUUUAACAUGCAUAUGGUUAAUUUAUUAGUUGGAAAAUUAAAAUGAAGACAUAACAUUAUAUCAUAUUUUAAUUCAAUGAUUUUAAUUUGGUUAAAUUUGAGAACAGGUGUUGUAUUUUCGUAGAACUAAACUUGCAUUCAAAUUUAUAAUGCUUGUAAUUGAAUACCAAAAUAAUCAAAUCUACAAUAAAGAAAAAUUCCAACCUGUGUGAAAUAUGAAAUUGGAAAAAAAGUUAUUUCAUGUUCUUAUAAAUUAUUUAUAUUUUGGAGGUACUGUAUUAUAGAUGUAAUAUAUUUAAAAUAUAUAUAUAUAUACUGAAAAAUGGGGGAUUUGAUACUAGAUAAUUUCCCUUUAUUUUAUUCCUCUAAGGAACUACUAUAAAUUGUUGAAAUAUUUCUUGAUUUUGGUAUUUUUAAGGCAUGAAAUUUUUUACUUACCAAAAAUAUGGAGAAGGGAACUUGAAGAUUUUUUGUUGAUGUAAUGAUGUUAUAUUUCAAAUAUUAAAGUUGAAGUUACCAUUCUGUGAUACUAUAUAGAUGAAAAUUCUUACUUGUAACAGUUUUUCUACAACAAUAUCACAAGGAUGCAAAAAAAUGGAAAUCUUGGUAAAACAAGAAUAGGUUAAAGAAAGUUCCUGUUUUCUCUAUUUUAUGAAAUUUUCACGGAUAGAUAAUUUCUUUUCUCAGCACAGUAGAGUGAUAUGAAAAAUGAUCGCUAGAAACUAAGGGAGCAUAUGUUGCUGUUAUUAAAAUUAACAAUGUUGUCAUCUAUAGGUGAAAUACUAGUAGAGAUAAACAGAUUAUCAUUGGUCAUCUCGACCUAAUUGCUUUUUUCACUUUUGCCGUACUGGCUCAAGCGAAAAAAUCAAUCUGAUUGAGAUGAACAACAAUAAUCUAUAAAUACACAAUCAUCAGCUGUUUUCAAGACAGUCGUACCCAUAAUCAAUAAAGUGCAAUACUGCAGUUAAACUUCCUAGAUUACAGUGCUUGCUUAGCUGUAAUUUUAAAGCCAAGUUAUAAUGCUAAGUAUAUAGAUGCUUAAGAACUUAUAUUAAACUACUGACAUCUGUAUAAAAUUCUUGUGUACAUAUAUUUAUCCUGUCAGUAGUUUAAAUGCUUUUGUAUUAUAAAUUCUAUUAUUGGGACCAAACUGAAUUUUAUGAGUUGUGAAAUUUAGGAGAAAUGGCUGAUCACUCAAAACACAUUGUAUAAUAUUCAUUUAUUAGUAAAUUAAUAAUAUAAUAUACAUUUGACUCUUUGAUAUAUGAUCAAUAGAUCCAACAUUGUGAAAUCCAAAUGUAUUUAAAAUAUGCUAGUCAUUGGUGGAGGGACUUUUGUUUGAGCUAAUACUAAAUAAAUAUAUGUUGUAACAUUAAAAAAUUUCAAAGAUGCCAUAUUUUGAAUAUUUCAUUUCAGUUCUUAACAUAACAUGAACAAAUCAAAUAAUUUUUCAUAACCAGUACCUUGUUAGUAUAUGCCCCCCUAAUUCAAUACUAAUAAUUCAACCAACAAAUAAAUUUCGGGUAAAAUCAACACAAACUUUCGUUGGAAAAAAUGGUUGAUUAUCUAGGGAACCACUGAAGUGUGACUGGAGCAGACACCCCCCUUUUAAGCCAGUCAAAGGACUCCUCUUACUUGAUCCACCACAAUGUUAAUAAAUGCGGCUUCCUUAAAGUGAUUAAUACAAAAUGGUACUGGAUUUUUUUUCUGUGCAUAUGGAAAUAUGUCUGGGCUUAGUUUUGAUGCACUAGGAACAGUAACUUACAUUCAUUAUAAAUAAUUAGUUUCAUUACAAUGUAUUUUAAUAGUUCAAGACAAAAAGUCUUUCAAAUUCAUAUUUGAUAUGUUGCAUUGUUCUCAUAGAUAUCAUAGAGAGUUUCACCAUAUUUUGCUGUCAUGAUUGUGAAAAAGAAUUCCAUCCAUUUUUAAACUAAGUAGUUUUAGUCGAUGAUAAUGUAAUUUUCAACUGUCAAACAGGUUGUGAUUGUAAUUGUGAUACUUUCUUUCUAUAAGGAAAAUGAAAACCUGUCACUAAACAAUUCUUAGAUCUUAUGCAAGAUAUAUUUGAUGUAUUAAAACGAAGGAAUUGAUGAACCUACUUAAAUAUAUAAUUUACUGGAUAAAGCUAUUUCUCUGUAUUCCAGUAGUUGUAAACAUUUAUUGGCUUUAUAGUAAACAUGUUUUUUUUUUAAUCACUUAUAUAUAGUAGUCAGGCAAUGAAGACAAAAGCUUAUAGAAAUACUCAAAUAUCCUAAUGCUGAGAAAUAAUUCUUGAUCUUGUUUUGAUGGAACUUUGACACUACGUUUCAUGACAUUUAAAUAAAUUUAUAUAGGAAUAUGAUAUGCAGUGCAGUGUUCUCCCCAGAAAAUUCAUAUAGCAUCCUGUUUAUCAAGGAAAUUUGAAAUACCAUCUUGUUUUUAAAAAUUAUAGCAUCACAUCAAUAACACAAUCUAUAAUAAUAUCAAUUCUGAUAGCAUCACAUUCAGAAAUACAGCAUCACAUAACCAUGAUGCUAAAAGGCCCUCUAGGGAGAAGAACACUGCAGUGCAAUACAUAUAGUUUACUUUUAUUUCUGUCUAAAUCAAUAAAUUCCUAUGUACUAUGGUUGUGUAAAGCAAACAUCAAUCAAUCAAUUAAUCCGUCUAGAUAGUCCUUCAACUGCCAAACAAAUAUAGUCUUAAAAUACUUGAAUAUGCAUUUAUGCAGAUUAUGUAUAGCAUUUUCACUCUCACAAUUUAAAAUUUCAAUAUUUUGUUGAAAUUUGGAAGUUGCCCGAAAUUAGCAAUAUUUCUCAGUUGUAACUUAUAAGAAGCAUCAUGUAAUUAUUUGUAGAUUACAAAUAAGCUGUGUCAGAUACAAAAUCAACCUUAUGCAAGUGAACAUGUACAUGUACGUAUAAACCUUUGAUUCGGUUUAGAAACAUUCAACAUGUUCAAAUACGAAAUAAAAGAUGAAUUUUGGUCUGUCUUAGAGUUUUAAUAACAACUCAAUCUUCAAACGGACUUUUGAAAGAGAUUUCAUUUCAAGCCGAAAUAUAUUGAUAUUCACUUACAUAAGCUCGAUUUCUAUCCGACAGACCCCAAAUAUUAAGGUAAUGGUAAUACAUCCAUGUCUAUGGACUACAGGAUCAUGUGACACCCUGCAGCAUGUUAUAAAACAUCUCAUUUAAUCAUGAUUGUACUCAAGUUUUAUUUCAUGUAUGUUUGAACACUUUAUCAUGUGUAAAUAAAUGUUAGCAAUUCAUGUGUAUCACAAUGUGAAACGAGCUAUUAAUGGUAUCUUAAAUAAAAAAAAAUGAGGAU
rnacentral:lncRNA from 1 species